rnacentral:lncRNA from 10 species
CUCUUUAAAUUUUCUAUCUUAGAGGGCUUCUUUGCCUCACCCUCGUCCCAGUUCUGGGUUCAAUCUGAAAAGAUUAUUUCUCCUUGACUAAUAAUUAAGGACAAAUGAGACCAAUUCCCCCCUGAAAUAUUAAGAUGCUGAAGAUGGCCUAACACAUCACUUACCUUUGUCUUUUACAAUGAUUGUAACCUGGACUUUGUUGUGGUCCUCCACGAGGUUAUGCAGCUUAACUGAUUGCUACCAAGUAAAAGUUAACAUUUAAACAUUAGAUAGUUCAUGUUCUGAAAACCACAUGAUCUCAUUACAGUAAAUACCAGGCCAGCUGUCACAGCUAAAGUGACUCUGGGCAAAGGACUCAACUUCUUUUGAUGCUUCAGCUUCCUUGCUCCAACCCCUACCUCACCUGACCCCCUAUGUGCAGCAGCAAAUAUGCUUAUUAGUUUAAUGCUAUCUCACUCCCAAGAAAAAAUAAUGCACAGUCACUGCCUCAAGGACCUAAGCCAAGGAACCUGUUAAAAGAAACUUUAGACAAAUUAAAUUUAAUGGGAGUUUAAUUGAGGAAGAGAAAAAAAGUGAUUCGCAUAUCAGGCAGCCACCAGAAUCACAGCAGAUUCAGAGAGACUCCAGGGAUGCCUGAUGGUCAGAAUAAAUUUAUGGAACAAAGAAGGGAAAUGACUACAGAACUCGGAAGUGAGGUACAGAAACAGCUGGAUUGGUUACAGGAAAAACAACAUAGGAGAGUGACACAGCAGGGAUCUCGCUGAUAAAGGACCUGCAUCUGAAUCCAGCUCCUCCAUCCAUGGGCCAUGUGUCCUGGUUGCUGAGACAUCUGGAGAGCCUUGUACCUCAUCAAAAGAAGAGAGACAGUAAUCCUUGCCUUUCUUUCCUCCUAAGGUUGUUAACGAGGCUUAAAUGAGAGAACAAGGAUGAAAGUAUUUUGUAAACUCUAAUGCCCUGUGUAUAAAGCAGAGAAUAAUAGCAUCUGUGGUGUUAGAAAAUGCCUGGAACUUUGUAAAGAUGUUGUUUGAUUCAACAUUACUGGAGUAAACCACACCAUUAGACAGAAUGAAAGACUCCACCGCAGAGAGAGAGACUGAUUUUUAUAACAACUGAAUUUAUUAUAGCAUAAACUAAAUACAAAGCUCUGAAUAAAUAAUCGUUUUUUUCAGUCAUCACAUCUGCAGGUGUGUAUGUGAACAUUUCCAUAAGCACAUAAGGAUACAGAUGUCACAGACAUAUUUAGUGAGGGAAGCCCAGAGUCACGGUUCUCUGUGGGUAAGAGCUAGAUGCCUUGAGAUGAACAUACAGGGCACCGUCUCAAAUGAUUUGGACUAUGUGACUGUGUUCGUUUCUCCUUCAGACUCUGCUCAAGAAAGUGUAUUGAUAACAGGUUGCUCCGCCCUCAAGUUUAGGGCACUCUCCCACGCUCUUUCAUGCAAAGUUUUUUAACACCUCUCUUUAAGAAAAUUCACAAAUCAGAAGUAUUACCCCAGCUUCAAUCUGACAAUCAGGACCCCUACUCUGCCCCUCUUUCCUAGGAUCUUAUCUCCAUUAGGGGUCCCCUUUCAAGGUACAGGGCAAUUGAGUCUAUAUGUCCACACAAUCGGAUCUGACAAGGCUGGGAGCCCUCCCUCCAGAGCCCAUCCUCCCAUGAGUGUCAGGAGAUUGAAACCACCCUGGCUAACAUGAUGAAACCCCAUCUCUACUAAAAAUACAAAAAAUUAGCCGGGCAUGGUGGCAGACCUGUAGUCCCAGCUACUUGGGAGGCUGAGGCAGGAGAAUGGUGUGAAUCCGGGAGGCGGAGCUGGCAGUGAGCCGAGAUUGUGCCACUGCACUCUAGCCUGGGCAACAGAGUGAGACUCCAUCUCAAAAAAAAAAAAAAAAAAAAAAGGUUCACAUCACAGCAUAAGACUGAGACACUGGGUGUAUCAAGCUUGAAAGAGAUCUUGCAGGUAAUUGAGUUUCAUCUGAUACUUGACUUCCUUCUCUACUUGGCCCUUGAAUAGCCACUUGUUCCUCCAAUGUCCUAGAGUACAUUCCACUGCUAUCAGUGCUGGCUGUUAGGACAGUGGUUAGGGCAGAUGGCCUGAAGCCAUCCCCACUGUGAUCUUUACCCAUUUGUCCUGAUUUUGCCUUCUCAUGCCACCUGGCACAAGUAGGAUCCUUCUUUCUCAGGAAAACCCUUCACAGUCCCCUGACUGUUUUCUUUCCAGGCUGGGCACUCCCUGUUCCUUCAAUUACUGCUUCUAAGAUGUAGUUAAUCCCAGGAAUACAGUCUUCAAAAUGAGUCUCUUUUCCCAAAGAUUUUAUGGCUGCUUGACUAGUGGAGGACUAGAUUCUUUUCUUCCUGUUCCCUGCCAGCCUUUGCUAGUGAUAGAAUCACUUAGGAUCAAGGCAAGAGCAACUCAAAGUCUCAGAAAGACAGACAAUCAUUUUUUUGUUUUGUUUUGUUUUGUUUUUAAUACACCUCUAGCCCAGGCCUGGCAGGAUGCCUGGCAUUCAUUUGAACAGAGGGCCUGGUAUUAGCAAAGGGUUGCCCAUUCUUUGCUUGACUGUGAGAUCACACUAAGCAACCUGCCCUGCUGGAACUCUGGAAUUUGGAAGUAUUUGGCAGCAAUAUAAGGUUUGCUCAGAAGAUCUGUAUUUGAGGCCUAGAUCUGCUCUUGCCAUUACUGAAUCUCAGCUUUCUCAUCUGUAUGGUGGAGAUGAUAAGCCCUUCCUUGUUCAGUCAUGGGACAAUUGGUACCAUUCAGGUGAGUUAGUGGAGGUGAAUGCACUUAGCAAAGGGCACAUUUAAGUAUGAACUGUGCAGGCUGAUCUUGCUCAUGACUAGGUCACAGACCAUCUCUAGCUUGCCCCUGCCUACAACCCUCUACUUUUGGAAAAUGAGAAACACUUUUAGAGAAGGACAUUCAGAACUGCCAUAUCAUUGCUGAGGCUGGCUUUGCAAAAGGAAACAUUUCUUUCUGUACCAAAAAAGACAGUGAUUCUGCAGUCUUGAAACACUAAAAUAUCUUCACGCCCUAUUUUAAAACCAGAAGUAACAGGGUACCCUCAUGGCUGGGAGACACCAUGUUCCUAGAAUCAGCUGCAAUCAUAGAGCCAUCAGCCAUGCUCAAGAGCUCAGUUAGGGGGAAGGAAUGCUUGCAAAUGCUAUUGAUAAGUUCCAAAGCCAGCCUGGGCCAGGACACUUAUCCCCUGAUCAGAACAUUCACCUAGGAUUUGAUGCUCAUAAUACAAAUUUUGCUUUUGCCUUAAAAUAUUAUAUGUAGGUGUGCUCCUAGAGUUCAGUGUUGUCUCCUGAGGUAACAGAAACCUGAGUCUUCCUUGUGCUGAACAAAUCAAAUAUAACCAAAUUGUAAUAGUGACAAAAUAAGGACAAUUUUAGUUUUCUGGAAACUCAAGCCACAAACUUUAAAAAAAAAAUGUACUAGUUGUGUAAGAACUCCCAUCAAUAGUGCCAUAUAAUGCUGUAGCAUGAGACUAAUGUUUCUCAAAAAUAAUAAAGCAGAGGAGUGAAAAUUUCUGGAGUUGGCCAUGUGACAUGAGAGAUUCCUAAAACAUAGGAUAAGUUACUGGGGUUAGGAAAAGUGGGCUGUAGUGGACAGCACUCGUGCUUUCUGAUCUGUUAUUUUCCUCUCCUUCCCAGGACUACGUUCCAGACCAACUCUAUCAUUUGUGGGGCCUGGUACAAAAUGAAAAUAUGGGGACCCCUGUUCAAAAAUUAAGAAUUUUAAGAUGGAAACAGCAGAGUGUUAAAGCCAAGUGUGGGGACCUUCUAAGCAUGGGGCCCUGUGUAGUGACAGCUCAUAAGCCCAUGAAGCAUCCCUAAACACAGGAGACUGCACUUUCCAGCUCCCUGGCCAAAUCCUUGACUAAUGAGAUAUGAGUAGGGAAAGCAAUGUGUGCCACUUUUGGGGUGAGGCAGUGAAGAGCCCACACGUGAUCUCCAGUCUAUUCCUUCCCCCAUCACAGUCAACACACAGUCCUUGCAUCGAGCUGAUGGAGCCAUCAGGUUGAAGCAGUCACUGCUGUAAGAAUGGCAGUUCCAGAGUGUCACCUGGAUCACGAAAGAAGCACUUGUGUGUUAAGGCACUGAUAUCUGAGAGUUGUUUUUUAUUGCAGCAUAGGCUAAGCUUAUCCUUA